AAACAAAAUGAACGAAGUGGGUUUGAUAAAACCCUAGUUCCUCCCCCUUUUCCCCGCUCCUCAGAAAUCAAAAAAAUUGCAGAGAGAGGCAGCAAAUCUCUGUUCUUUGCGAAAAUGUCGAUGUCGAAGAGUUCGAAGAUGCUUCAAUACAUCAAUUACCGGAUGAGGGUAACAAUCCAAGACGGCCGUCAGCUCAUCGGAAAAUUCAUGGCCUUCGACCGCCACAUGAAUCUCGUCCUCGGCGACUGCGAAGAGUUCCGGAAGCUACCUCCGACGAAAGGUUCCAAGGAAGAACGCGAAGACCGCCGCACCCUCGGCCUCGUCCUCCUCAGGGGCGAAGAGGUCAUUUCCCUCACCGUCGAGGGCCCACCUCCCCCCGACGAUUCACGCCUCAAACCUACCUCCGCUAACGCCGUCCCCGGUCCCGGAAUCGGCCGUGCCGCCGGCCGAGGCGUCGUUACUGGACCGCUCACCCACGCCCAACCCGGCCUCUCCGGCCCCGUUCGCGGCGUUGGUGGGCCCGCACCUGGUAUGAUGCAGCCCCAGAUUUCUCGCCCUCCUCAGAUCUCCGGUCCGCCUAUUUCCUACCCUCCGCAGCCGCCGGUGGUGAGGCCGCCGAAUAUGGCGCCGCCGCCGGGAGGGUUUCAGCCGAGACCUGGAAUGCCGAUGCCUCCGCCGCCGCAGUUUAGGCCCGGUAUGCCUCCACCUGGGGGGUUUGCUCCUCCACCUCAGUUUGGACAGAGGCCGCAGAUGAUGAGGGGUCCACCACCGCCUGGUGCACCGCAGUGGCCAGGUAUGCAAGGUGGUCCGCCUGGACAGCAGCCACCAAGACCUGGUAUGCCGCCGCCACCUCCUCCCGGUGGACAGGCUCACUUAUUUGGUCCACCUAGACCAGGAAUGCCACCUCCACCUCAGAACCAACAGCAGUAAACAGUCAGUUUCAGAUAGGGAUUUCUCUCAAGGCUGGUGGAUUGAUUGAUGAACGUAGUUGAAGAGUAUUAUUACCCGGUAUCUUUUGCAGUAAUUAGAUUUUUCGAUUGGUAAUUAGUGUUUCUUGUUCUUGACAAUCGGGAUUACUUUGCCAUGUUGACUUUGCAAACCUCUUAUGAACAUGAAAAUAUGUUGUCUUAGAAUAUUUUUUUUUGUUUUGUUUUUCUGAUGAAUCUGAAGUGCAUUUCAACCUG